rnacentral:rRNA from 1 species
UACGGAGGGUGCGAGCGUUGUCCGGAAUCACUGGGCGGAAAGGGCGCGUAGGCGGCAUGCCAAGCGUGUGGUGAAAGCCCGGGGCUCAACCCCGGGUCGGCCGUGCGGACUGGCGUGCUCGAGCACUGUAGGGGCGGGUGGAAGUCCGGGUGUAGCGGUGGAAUGCGUAGAGAUCCGGAAGAACACCGGUGGCGAAGGCGGCCCGCUGGGCAGGAAGGCUCGCAAGAGCCGGCUGACGCUGAGGCGCGACAGCGUGGGGAGCAAACAGG